UUUCCCAUUUUACUACCACAUGUUCUCUUAAUAGUAGAAUUGAGUGGCUAUGCUGGUGGGAUAGAUUAAAGGUGCCAUGAUCUGAAGAGGUACGGGUUUUCCAGUGACCUCCCCGUAUAUGAAUUGGCUAAGCAGAAAAAU
ensembl:snoRNA